CGGGGGGGGCAAGCGUUGUUCGGAAUUACUGGGCGUAAAGGGCUCGUAGGCGGCCAACUAAGUCAGACGUGAAAUCCCCAGGCUCAACCUGGGAACUGCGUCUGAUACUGGAUGGCUUGAAUCCGGGAGAGGGAUGCAGAAUUCCAGGUGUAGCGGUGAAAUGCGUAGAUAUCUGGAGGAAUACCGGUGGCGAAGGCGGCAUCCUGGACCGGCAUUGACGCUGAUGAGCGAAAGCCAGGGGAGCAAACGGGAUUAGAUACCCCGGUAGUCCUGGCCCUAAACGAUGAAUGCUUGGUGUGACGGGUAUCGAUCCCUGUCGUGCCGAAGCUAACGCAUUAAGCAUUCCGCCUGGGGAGUACGGUCGCAAGGCUG
rnacentral:rRNA from 1 species